GAGUUUGAUCCUGGCUCAGAGUGAACGCUGGCGGUAGGCCUAACACAUGCAAGUCGAACGGCGAGCACAGGAAGAGCUUGUCUCUCUGGGUGGCGAGUGGCGGACGGGUGAGGAAUACAUCGGAAUCGUACCUUUUCGUGGGGGAUAACGUAGGGAAACUUACGCUAAUACCGCAUACGACCUACGGGUGAAAGUGGGGGACCGCAAGGCCUACACGCGAUUAGAUGAGCCGAUGUCCGAUUAGCUAGUUGGCGGGGUAAUGGCCCACCAAGGCGACGAUCGGUAGGCUGGUCUGAGAGGACUGAUCAGCCACACUGGAACUGAGACACGGUCCAGACUCCUACGGGAGGCAGCAGUGGGGAAUAUUGGACAAAUGGGCGCAAGCCUGAUCCAGCCAUACCGCGUGGGUGAAGAAGGCCUGGUG
rnacentral:rRNA from 1 species